rnacentral:rRNA from 1 species
AUUGAACGCUGGCGGCAGGCUUAACACAUGCAAGUCGAGCGAGCGGCGGACGGGUGAGUAAUGUCUGGGACACUGCCUGAUGGAGGGGGAAACUACUGGAAACGGUAGCUAAUACCGCAUACCAUCAGAUGUGCCCCGAUCGGAUGCGCUAGUAGGUGGGGUGAUGGCUCACCUAGGCGACGAUCCCUAGCUGGUCUGAGAGGAUGACCAGCGACACUGGAACGGAGACACGGUCCAGAAUCCUAAGGGAGGCAGCAGUGGGGAAUAUUGCACAAUGGGCGCAAGCCUGAUGCAGCCAUGCCGCGUGGGUGAAGAAGGCCUUCGGGUUUGAAAGCACUUUCAUCGAGGAGGCGUUACUCGCAGAAGAAGCACCGGCUAACUCCGUGCCAGCAGCCGCGGUAAUAC